GAGUUUGAUCAUGGCUCAGAACGUACGCUGGCGGCACGCCUAACACAUGCAAGUCGAACGAAGUAGCAAUACUUAGUGGCAGACGGGUGAGUAACAUGUAGGUAUCUACCCUUUGGCCUGGAAUAACACGAGGAAACUUGUGCUAAUACCGGAUAAGUCUUUACGGAGAAAGCUUUAUGCACCAUUGGAUGAGCCUGCACUUGAUUAGUUUGUUGGUAGGGUAAUGGCCUACCAAGACUUUGAUCAAUAGCUGAUUUGAGAGGAUGAUCAGCCACAUUGGGACUGAGACACGGCCCAAACUCCUACGGGAGGCAGCAGUGGGGAAUCUUGCACAAUGGAGGAAACUCUGAUGCAGCGAUGCCGCGUGAGUGAAGAAGGCCCUUGGGUUGUAAAGCUCUUUCGUCGGGGAAGAAAAUGACUGUACCCGAAUAAGAAGGUCCGGCUAACUUCGUGCCAGCAGCCGCGGUAAUACGAAGGGACCUAGCGUAGUUCGGAAUUACUGGGCUUAAAGAGUUCGUAGGUGGUUGAAAAAGUUGGUGGUGAAAUCCCAGAGCUUAACUCUGGAACUGCCAUCAAAACUUUUCAGCUAGAGUUUGAUAGAGGAAAGCAGAAUUUCUAGUGUAGAGGUGAAAUUCGUAGAUAUUAGAAAGAAUACCAAUUGCGAAGGCAGCUUUCUGGAUCAUUACUGACACUGAGGAACGAAAGCAUGGGUAGCGAAGAGGAUUAGAUACCCUCGUAGUCCAUGCCGUAAACGAUGUGUGUUAGACGUUGGAAAUUUAUUUUCAGUGUCGCAGCGAAAGCGAUAAACACACCGCCUGGGGAGUACGACCGCAAGGUUAAAACUCAAAUGAAUUGACGGGGACCCGCACAAGUAGUGGAGCAUGUGGUUUAAUUCGAAGAUACGCGCAGAACCUUACCAACACUUGACAUGUUCGUCGCGACUUUAAGAGAUUAAAGUUUUCGGUUCGGCCGGACGAAACACAGGUGCUGCAUGGCUGUCGUCAGCUCGUGUCGUGAGAUGUUGGGUUAAGUCCCGCAACGAGCGCAACCCUCACUUUUAGUUGCCAUCAUUAAGUUGGGCACUCUGAAAGAACUGCCAGUGAUAAGCUGGAGGAAGGUGGGGAUGACGUCAAGUCCUCAUGGCCCUUACGUGUUGGGCUACACACGUGCUACAAUGGUAUUUACAACAGGAAGCAAGACGGCGACGUUAAGCAAAUCCUUAAAAAAUACCUCAGUUCGGAUUGCACUCUGCAACUCGAGUGCAUGAAGCUGGAAUUACUAGUAAUCGUGGAUCAGCGUGCCACGGUGAAUGCGU
rnacentral:rRNA from 1 species